GACGUAGGGCGCGAGGCGUUGUCCGGAUUUAUUGGGCGUAAAGAGCUCGUAGGCGGUUUGUCGCGUCUGCCGUGAAAGUCCGGGGCUCAACUCCGGAUCUGCGGUGGGUACGGGCAGACUAGAGUGAUGUAGGGGAGACUGGAAUUCCUGGUGUAGCGGUGAAAUGCGCAGAUAUCAGGAGGAACACCGAUGGCGAAGGCAGGUCUCUGGGCAUUAACUGACGCUGAGGAGCGAAAGCUGGGGAGCGAACAGG
rnacentral:rRNA from 1 species